rnacentral:rRNA from 1 species
GACGAACGCUGGCGGCGUGCUUAACACAUGCAAGUCGAACGAUGAAGCCGCUUCGGUGGUGGAUUAGUGGCGAACGGGUGAGUAACACGUGGGUAAUCUGCCCUGCACUCUGGGAUAAGCCUUGGAAACGAGGUCUAAUACCGGAUAUGACACACGAAGGCAUCUUCUGUGUGUGGAAAGUUCCGGCGGUGCAGGAUGAGCCCGCGGCCUAUCAGCUUGUUGGUGGGGUAGUGGCCUACCAAGGCGACGACGGGUAGCCGGCCUGAGAGGGUGACCGGCCACACUGGGACUGAGACACGGCCCAGACUCCUACGGGAGGCAGCAGUGGGGAAUCCUGCGUAAUGGGCGAAAGCCUGACGCAGCAACGCCGCGUGGGGGAUGACGGCCUUCGGGUUGUAAACCUCUUUUGACAGGGACGAAGCUUUCGGGUGACGGUACCUGUAGAAGAAGCACCGGCUAACUACGUGCCAGCCGCCGCGGUAAGAC